GAUGAAGAACGCAGCGAAAUGCGAUAAGUAAUGUGAAUUGCAGAAUUCAGUGAAUCAUCGAAUCUUUGAACGCACAUUGCGCCCCCUGGUAUUCCGAGGGGCAUGCCUGUUCGAGCGUCAUUACACCACUCAAGCUAUGCUUGGUAUUGGGCGUCGUCCUUAGUUGGGCGCGCCUUAAAGACCUCGGCGAGGCCACUCCGGCUUUAGGCGUAGUAGAAUUUAUUCGAACGUCUGUCAAAGGAGAGGAACUCUGCCGACUGAAACCUUUAUUUUUCUAGGUUGACCUCGGAUCAGGUAGGGAUACCCGCUGAACUUAAGCAUAUCAAUAAGCGGAGGA
rnacentral:misc_RNA from 1 species